rnacentral:tRNA from 1 species
AUUUAUAUAGUUUAAAUAAAACAAUACAUUUUCAUUGUAAAAAUAAAUUCUAUUUUAUAAAUA